ensembl:lncRNA
AUGAUCGCACCAACCACUGAUUACGCACGGAAACCGUGUUGCUGCCAUUCAGCAGGGGGACACUCAGUGUGUCUCCCUCAGUGGAACGGCAGGGGCAGGACCAGGCCCCAGGCCUGGAGGCGGAGGUCUGAACGGAGAGCCGGCAGCAAGGCCGGUGAGGCGGCCCCAGGGUGGGAGAACGGCUACUCCAUUCAGAGGCUUCCGGAUGCCAGGGGCUCACAGGGACGGAACAGAUGCAGACACGAUGUUGAUGCCUCUCGAGUGCUUCACCUACAGACAGCCUGGCUAGAGAGGCUCCUGGGUCUACAGACGUUCAGGAAUCAGGGCCUAGAGGCCUCCGCUUUCCCCAAAGUCCUCCCAGCCGAUCACAGAGACCGAGGCAGCCUCGGCCUGGCCAGCCUGUGCCCUGCAUGGCACCACCUCCGCGUGCUGACCCCAUACGCUCAGCAGGCCCCGCAGAGGACUUCUGGCCUGCAGGCCUGGGCUGCGAGCAAGCUUCCCUUCUUCUUCUCCCCAGAAGGCGUGGGGGUGGGCACACGCAAGACAGUCCCUUCUGCCCGGGGCUCCCCUGAAGCCCACGCUCCCCCGCGUUCCCGGGGGGCCGGCCCCCUGCACUGGCCGCUGGCUGCCGACACAGGCGGGCAUCUCGGAAGGAGGCCCGAGGUGGCCCCACUCUGCUGGACCCCGGCGCCCAUGCUUCUGCGUCUUUGUCUGCCUUCUCCCGCAGCUGCUCCACCUGCCUCGGACUCUCAGAUUCUCUUCCCUAGCCCGGCCUCUCCUCCUGUCCAGCGCUCAGCAGAGGGGGGCACUCGGGCAGUUCCCGGCCCGCUCAGCCCCUCCUCUGACCAAGCUGGACCAACACGCUUCCCUGACCCUAGAGCCUGGUUUGCGGUCAGCUCACCGCUGGACCCGCCACACUUGUGCAGCUUCCGCCCUCCUCAUCACCCUGUGCUCACAGCCAGAGAAGGCCAGCCACCCGUGUCCCCUCUCCCCUCGCCCCUCAAAACCAUGGGGGAAAACCCAGGUGCAUCCAGAGACGGCGGCCAGGGGCAGGCUGGCCCUCCGCUUCUUCCUCUGGAGCCCCCAGUCUCCACCAGCCCCCCUUCAGGUGGGCCCGUCACUGCUGCUCAUCCGGAACCUCUGUGCGUGCAUUCAGUCCCGUGCCGGUGA